GAUGAACGCUGGCGGCGUGCCUAAUACAUGCAAGUCGAGCGAACAGACGAGGAGCUUGCUCCUCUGACGUUAGCGGCGGACGGGUGAGUAACACGUGGAUAACCUACCUAUAAGACUGGGAUAACUUCGGGAAACCGGAGCUAAUACCGGAUAAUAUAUUGAACCGCAUGGUUCAAUAGUGAAAGACGGUUUUGCUGUCACUUAUAGAUGGAUCCGCGCCGCAUUAGCUAGUUGGUAAGGUAACGGCUUACCAAGGCAACGAUGCGUAGCCGACCUGAGAGGGUGAUCGGCAACACUGGAACUGAGACACGGUCCAGACUCCUACGGGAGGAAGCAGUAGGGAAUCUUCCGCAAUGGGCGAAAGCCUGACGGAGCAACGCCGCGUGAGUGAUGAAGGUCUUCGGAUCGUAAAACUCUGUUAUUAGGGAAGAACAAAUGUGUAAGUAACUAUGCACGUCUUGACGGUACCUAAUCAGAAAGCCACGGCUAACUACGUG
rnacentral:rRNA from 1 species